rnacentral:rRNA from 1 species
AUUGAACGCUGGCGGCAGGCCUAACACAUGCAAGUCGAACGAGUGGCGCACGGGUGAGUUAUGUGUGGGAAACUGCGCUAUGGAGGGGGAAAACUACUGGACACGGUCUCUAAUACCGCAUACCAUCAGAUGUGCCCAUAUGGGAUUAUCGAGUGGGUGGGGUAACGGCUCACCGAGGCGACGAUCCCUAGCUGGUCUGAGAGGAUGACCAGCCACACUGGAACUGAGACACGGCCCAGACUCCUACGGGAGGCAGCAGUGGGGAAUAUUGCACAAUGGGCGCAAGCCUGAUGCAGCCAUGCCGCGUGUAUGAAGAAGGCCCUAGGGUUGUAAAGUACUUUCAGCGGGGAGGCGUUACCGGCAGAAGAAGCACCGGCUAACUCCGUGCCAGCAGCCGCGGUAAUAC